GAUGAACGCUGGCGGCGUGCCUAAUACAUGCAGGUCGAGCGAACGGACGAGAAGCUUGCUUCUCUGAUGUUAGCGGCGGACGGGUGAGUAACACGUGGAUAACCUACCUAUAAGACUGGGAUAACUUCGGGAAACCGGAGCUAAUACCGGAUAAUAUUUUGAACCGCAUGGUUCAAAAGUGAAAGACGGUCUUGCUGUCACUUAUAGAUGGAUCCGCGCUGCAUUAGCUAGUUGGUAAGGUAACGGCUUACCAAGGCAACGAUGCAUAGCCGACCUGAGAGGGUGAUCGGCCACACUGGAACUGAGACACGAUCCAGACUCCUACGGGAGGCAGCAGUAGGGAAUCUUCCGCAAUGGGCGAAAGCCUGACGGAGCAACGCCGCGUGAGUGAUGAAGGUCUUCGGAUCGUAAAACUCUGUUAUUAGGGAAGAACAUAUGUGUAAGUAACUGUGCACAUCUUGACGGUACCUAAUCAGAAAGCCACGGCUAACUACGUG
rnacentral:rRNA from 1 species